GAUGAACGCUAGCGAUAGGCCUAACACAUGCAAGUCGAGGGGCAUCACAUGAAGUAGCAAUACGGAUGGUGGCGACCGGCGCACGGGUGAGUAACACGUAUGCAACCUGCCUUCAACAAGGGGAUAACCCGUUGAAAGACGGACUAAUACCCUAUAACACAGGGGUCCCGCAUGGGAAUAUUUGUUAAAGGACAACCGGUUGAAGAUGGGCAUGCGUUCCAUUAGCUAGUUGGCGGGGUAACGGCCCACCAAGGCAACGAUGGAUAGGGGAACUGAGAGGUUUAUCCCCCACACUGGUACUGAGACACGGACCAGACUCCUACGGGAGGCAGCAGUGAGGAAUAUUGGUCAAUGGACGCAAGUCUGAACCAGCCACGUCGCGUGAAGGAAGACGG
rnacentral:rRNA from 1 species